UACGUAGGGCGCAAGCGUUGUCCGGAAUUAUUGGGCGUAAAGAGCUCGUAGGCGGCCUGUUGCGUCCGCUGUGAAAACCCGGAGCUCAACUCCGGGCCUGCAGUCGAUACGGGCGGACUCGAGUUCGGCAGGGGAGACUGGAAUUCCUGGUGUAGCGGUGAAAUGCGCAGAUAUCAGGAGGAACACCGGUGGCGAAGGCGGUGUCCUGGGCCGAUCCUGACGCUGAGGAGCGAAAGCUGGGGGAGCAAACAGG
rnacentral:rRNA from 1 species